rnacentral:misc_RNA from 1 species
CCGAGUUAGGGUCGCCUCCCAUAGCGCCCGACCUCCCAACCCUUUGUCUAUGUUACCUCAGUUGCUUCGGUGGGCCGGACUCGAUCCUCCCUUCGGGGAGGUCGUGACCGCCGGUCUAUGGCUGGAGAGCCGCCCGCCGACGGCCACAAACCAAAACUCUUGAUACCAAAACCUGUCGUCUAAAUUUUUGAUUAUAAUAAAAACA